AUGUCUUUUUCAUUCUGUAAUGAAGCACUGUGGUACACUUUUGGUGGAGGAACUAAACUGACGAUCAGAACUGGUCCCUCCGUGAAGCCCUCCGUGUCUCUGCUGCCUCCCUCUUCUCUGCAGAUCUCUGGAGACUCAGCCGCACUGCUCUGUCUGCUCAGCUCUUACUCUCCACAGGGGGCGCAGGUGAGCUGGACGCUGGACGGGUCAGAGGUCACCGAGGGGGUUCAGACCAGCGCAGAGAGCGAGCGGGACGGACGCUACAGCCGCAGCAGCGUCCUGAGCCUCAGCAAAGCACGCUGGGAAGCCGGCGAGCGCUUCGUCUGCAGAGUAACACAUGACGGAGCUGCUCAGGAGACCUCGUUCCUCAAGAGCUCCGAGUGCUGAUGUUUCUCCAGUGAAGAGCAGCAGGAUUCACAGCAGUCUCCUGAUUUACAGCUCAAUACUCAAGCAGUCUUUCAAUGUGCUGCCAUUGCUGUUCAUUCAAUAAAGCUUCUGAACGCCUUC